rnacentral:rRNA from 1 species
UACGUAGGGUGCGAGCGUUAAUCGGAAUUACUGGGCGUAAAGCGUGCGCAGGCGGUUCGUUAAGUCAGCUGUGAAAGCCCCGGGCUCAACCUGGGAACUGCGGUUGAAACUGGCGAACUAGAAUCUGGCAGAGGGGGGUGGAAUUCCACGUGUAGCAGUGAAAUGCGUAGAUAUCUGGAGGAACACCGGUGGCGAAGGCGGCAUCCUGGACCGGUAUUGACGCUGAGGCGCGAAAGCCAGGGGAGCAAACGGG